rnacentral:rRNA from 1 species
GAUGAACGCUAGCUACAGGCCUAACACAUGCAAGUCGAGGGACCGGCGCACGGGUGAGUAACACGUAUCCAACCUGCCCUUUACUCGGGGCUAGCCUUUCGAAAGACAGAUUCAUACCCGAUGUAAUGGAUGGGGAUGCGUUCCAUUAGGGUGUUGGGAAGGUAACGGCUCACCAAGCCUUCGAUGGUUAGGGGUUCUGAGUGGAGUGUCCCCUGCAUCUGAGCUGCGAAACGGUCCAAACUGGGACGGGAGGCAGGAGUAAGGAACAUUGGGGAAUGGGCGUGAGCCUGAACAAGCCAAGUGGCGGGAAGGAUGAAGGCGUAUGAGUCGUAAGCUUGUUUUAUAGAAGAAUAGGUAUUAUAUGAAUAAGGAUCGGCUAACUCCGUGCCAGCAGCCGCGGUAAUAC